AGGACGAACGCUGGCGGCGUGCCUAACACAUGCAAGUCGAGCGGAGUCAGUAAGAGGAAGUUUCGGAUGGAAUCUUAUGAUUAGCGGCGGACGGGUGAGUAACGCGUGAGCGACCAACCUUGCACAGGGGGAUAACGGACCGAAAGGUUCACUAAUACCGCAUGAGACCACGGUGUUGCAUGACACAGGGGUCAAAGGAGCAAUCCGGUGCAAGACGGGCUCGCGUCCGAUCAGGUAGUUGGAGGGGUAACGGCCCACCAAGCCUAUGAUCGGUAGCCGACCUGAGAGGGUGAUCGGCCACAUUGGAACUGAGAUACGGUCCAAACUCCUACGGGAGGCAGCAGUGGGGAAUAUUGGGGCCAAUGGGGGAAACCCUGACCCAGCAACGCCGCGUGAAGGAAGAAGGUUUUCGGAUUGUAAACUUCUGUCCUUGGUGAAGAGAAGAAGACGGUAGCCAAGGAGGAAGCCCCGGCUAACUACGUGCCAGCCGCCGC
rnacentral:rRNA from 1 species